rnacentral:rRNA from 1 species
AUUGAACGCUGGCGGCAGGCCUAACACAUGCAAGUCGAGCGGAGUGGCGGACGGGUGAGUAAUGCCUAGGAAUCUGCCUGGUAGUGGGGGAUAACGACCGGAAACGGGCGCUAAUACCGCAUACUAUCAAUUGAGAUUUGGUCGGAUUAGCUAGUUGGUGGGGUAAAGGCCUACAAAGGCGACGAUCCGUAACUGGUCGGAGAGGAUGAUCAGUCACACUGGAACUGAGACACGGUCCAGACUCCGACGGGAGGCAGCAGUGGGGAAUAUUGGACAAUGGGCUAAAGCCUGAUCCAGCCAUGCCGCGUGUGUGAAGAAGGUCUUCGGAUUUUAAAGCACUUUAAGUUGGGAGGCGUUACCAACAGAAUAAGCACCGGCUAACUUCGUGCCAGCAGCCGCGGUAAUUC